GCAGCCUGGUUACUGGAGCGACCAAAUAGCCAGAGACAAUAGAGAGAAAGUGGAUGUGAGUGUGUGUGUUCAUGUGUGUGUUUUUGCUGAGAAACAAGUUGAGAGUGCAGAGAGCUCCUGGUUCCACAAAUCCAGUUAAAGACACAGAGACACAAACAGCCGAGCAGGGAGUAAACAGACUGGGACCGCUGGUCCAGGGGAAUGCAGACUGGGGAGAGUAUCCUGUCUCCAUACUCCACACAACCAACAGCACCAAGGACACACAAGCUCUAUCUCAAAUAAUCCGGGACAUGGAGCGUGGAACUUGUGCAGCUUCCUGGCGCAGGAGAAGCAGGUUAGCAGGCUUUCCUGACUCUCUCCCCCAGAGAGCUGCUCCUCCCUGGGAAGGCCUCGCGGCCUAGGACCCUUUCCCUUCCCUGGAACCCCGGGGGGCAGGAGGCGGUCAGGGGUGGAGUGUGAGGGCAGGAUGACAGGGUCAGACACGGUCCUGAGGCAGUCUGGGACGUCGAUGCCUGUGUCGCUUUCCUCCUCAUCGUCGUCGUCUCGCGGGGCCAGAGAACUGCAUGCUGGGAUGUCGGGGACGGAAAGUGGCGGUUCUCCUUCUCCUCCACUCCCUUCUUCCAGCACGGCCUCCUUCAUUUCCACGCUCACCUGUUCACUUCCCCCCUCCGUCAGGAACCACAGGUCGUCCGUCGUGUCCGACACGAUCGCUGUGUCCUCAUCCUGCGCAGGAGACAGCUGAUCCCUCAGUCAGGAUGUGUGUGAUCUCAUCACUGUAUGACUAUGCUCCCUGAGUUUAUCACCUUGACAAGCAAAUAAACUGACUAUAGUA